UUCAAGGACAGCCAUAAUUUGUCGUGCUUAAUUUUGAUUGUCCGUCUUAUUUAAAAGUUUUUGAAAAAAAAAUUAAAAACAUAAGUCACACGUAAAGUAUGUUUUAUGUUUUAUAACAAUAAAAAUACUAAUUAUUCAAAGUUGGACACAGAAUCUCAUAGUUGCACUUAAA
rfam:Oryza meridionalis cultivar OR44 (W2112) chromosome 3, whole genome shotgun sequence.